rnacentral:rRNA from 1 species
CGUGUCCUACGGGGGGCAGCAGUGGGGAAUAUUGCACAAUGGGGGGAACCCUGAUGCAGCGACGCCGCGUGAAGGAAGAAGUAUCUCGGUAUGUAAACUUCUAUCAGCAGGGAAGAAAGAGGACGGUACCUGACUAAGAAGCCCCGGCUAACUACGUGCCAGCAGCCGCGGUAAUACGUAGGGGGCGAGCGUUAUCCGGAUUUAUUGGGUUUAAAGGGUGCGUAGGCGGAACAUUAAGUCAGCGGUAAAAUCGAGGGGCUCAACCCCUUUAAGCCGUUGAAACUGGUGAUCUUGAGUGGGCGAGA